rnacentral:rRNA from 1 species
GACGAACGCUGGCGGCGUGCUUAACACAUGCAAGUCGAACGGUGAAGCGCCUUCCUUUUUGGUGGGUGUGGAUGAGUGGCGAACGGGUGAGUAACACGUGAGUAACCUGCUCCCUUCUUCUGGAUAACCGCAUGAAAGUGUGGCUAAUACGGGAUAUUCUGGGUCUGUCGCAUGAUGGGUCUGGGAAAGAUAUUGUUUCGGUGGGGGAUGGGCUCGCGGCCUAUCAGCUUGUUGGUGGGGUGAUGGCCUACCAAGGCGGUGACGGGUAGCCGGCCUGAGAGGGUGGACGGUACCAAUGGGAAGGCGACACGGCCCAGACUCCUACGGGAGGCAGCAGUGGGGAAUAUUGCACAAUGGGCGCAAGCCUGAUGCAGCGACGCCGCGUGAGGGAUGGAGGCCUUCGGGUUGUGAACCUCUUUCGCCAGUGAAGCAGGCCUGCCUCGUAUGUGGGUGGGUUGACGGUAGCUGGAUAAGAAGCGCCGGCUAACUACGUG